CUUCAGUUGUGACACCCAUUUGUUUUUAUCCCUAGCAGGAAUGAAACUACACUUAAUGGAAAAAAUGAGAUUUUUUAAUUUUUUUUUUAAAGCAUGAAGUCGUAUGAAUCACUCUCUGCUAAAUUGGUGUUCAGUUGUGUAACUUUUCUCUCUGAAGUUCACCUGUAACGUGACAGGUUGGAUACUAGUACAAUUAGCUUAUUUGUUUGUCACCUGUGUGCUAAACGUUAAUGUGUAGGACUUUUUUGUUCUUCCUUCAGAUAGUUAUAUGUUUAUAUAUAUACAGCAUUCCACCCACUUCCCCCACUGAACUCGUAGUUAUUUGACUGUUAUAAAAACUGAAGGUAUUGUGUGCACAAAUCUGUAAACAUAAGCAUUUUUUAAAAUUUCUUUCUUUUUUUUUUUUUUUUUCUUUACAACAGCAUAAAAAAGAAGUGUUGAGAGCUGCUCUUAACCCUUUUGGAGUCCGAAGUCAAAAGGGAACUAGGGGGCUUGAUACAUCCCUUGCAUCCUGCAUUUACUCUGACCACAGUCCCUCCCUGUUCUCACGAGUGGAGCUCUGCCCUGCUUCCCUUCCUGUUGAUUCCCAGUCAGCUACAUGGUAAGUUUUUAUUAUCUCUAUACUUGAUGCCACAAGGUAAAAUUCUGGCAGACUCUCUCUAAAAUCCAUUAGCACUGGGCAUUGAGGGCAGACCACUUCAUGCCCAUCAAAGAUCAUUCAGUCCUGUUCCAGGCUGACAGUAAGGAAAGGAAGGUAGUAUUGAAUUAGCAUUGGAGCUGAACUUCAGCAUAGAUUGUUAUAGGAAUAAAAUAUGAAGUAAAAUAUGUGACA
rnacentral:lncRNA from 1 species